rnacentral:sRNA from 1 species
UUUUUAUUUUUCUGUGUCAUCAUGCCUCCGUUAUUAGCCUUUUAUCGUCUUGUUUAUAUUUUUUUGGCCGGCAUGAUGCCGGCUUUUUUU